CAACUUUCGACAACGGAUCUCUUGGUUCUCCCAUCGAUGAAGAACGCAGCGAAACGCGAUAGUUAAUGUGAAUUGCAGAAUUCAGUGAAUCAUCGAGUCUUUGAACGCAUCUUGCGCUCCUUGGUAUUCCGAGGAGCAUGCCUGUUUGAGUGUCAU
rnacentral:rRNA from 1 species